CCUACGGGGGGCAGCAGUGGGGGAUAUUGCACAAUGGGGGAAACCCUGAUGCAGCGACGCCGCGUGGGCGAAGAAGUAUUUCGGUAUGUAAAGCCCUAUCAGCAGGGAAGAAGAAAUGACGGUACCUGAGUAAGAAGCACCGGCUAAAUACGUGCCAGCAGCCGCGGUAAUACGUAGGGGGCAAGCGUUAUCCGGAUUUACUGGGUGUAAAGGGAGCGUAGACGGUAUGGCAAGUCUGAUGUGAAAACCCGGGGCUCAACCUCGGGACUGCAUUGGAAACUGUCGGACUAGAGUGUCGGAGAGGG
rnacentral:rRNA from 1 species